AUGAACGCUGGCGGCGUGCCUCAUACAUGCAAGUCGAGCGCACGGACGAGAAGCUUGCUUCUCUGAUGUUAGCGGCGGACGGGUGAGUAACACGUGGAUAACCUACCUAUAAGACUGGGAUAACUUCGGGAAACCGGAGCUAAUACCGGAUAAUAUUUUGAACCGCAUGGUUCAAAAGUGAAAGACGGUCUUGCUGUCACUUAUAGAUGGAUCCGCGCUGCAUUAGCUAGUUGGUAAGGUAACGGCUUACCAAGGCAACGAUGCAUAGCCGACCUGAGAGGGUGAUCGGCCACACUGGAACUGAGACACGGUCCAGACUCCUACGGGAGGCAGCAGUAGGGAAUCUUCCGCAAUGGGCGAAAGCCUGACGGAGCAACGCCGCGUGAGUGAUGAAGGUCUUCGGAUCGUAAAACUCUGUUAUUAGGGAAGAACAUAUGUGUAAGUAACUGUGCACAUCUUGACGGUACCUAAUCAGAAAGCCACGGCUAACUACGUG
rnacentral:rRNA from 1 species